CUUCUGACACCCAGGCCCGAGAUCUAUCUGCUAGGCCACGCUGCUUCUCGUUGGCACGAUCAACCCGCUGCCGUUACCGCCAAGUAAAGGCUCAGGCCAACGUUAUGUUUCAGGUGCAGAGUAAGAAAUGGCUUCUGCAACCACAAAGGACCAGUUUCCUCCCACAAUUAGAGUCAACCUGAAAACCAAGUAGGCAUCUUGCACUCACUUCUCGACUUCCCCGCCAACACCUGAACAAAUAAGGAGACAGCUGCCUCACUCUCCAACCCAAAGCAGGCCAAGGUGUAACGGAAAGAAGUGAAUCACUUAAGAAAGUUCAAAGCAACCCUUCUCUGAACUAAAGAAAAUCUUGCUACUCUUUACUGGGAAAGAAAAUGGAAACGCCAAAAGUCUCAAAUUGAUGUAUCAGAUUAGUAAAUUCUUUUAAAAGAAAGAAAAUAAUUAUUUCGAGUGUCCUGCACUAUUUUAAAUGAGUUUUCUAGCUACUCCACUUCAAACCCCAACUUAAACCACUACUAUAAUAAAUGAAAAUUAUUCACA